rnacentral:rRNA from 1 species
AGUGGCGCACGGGUGAGUAACGCGUAGAUGAUAUGCCUUUUAGUGGGGGACAACAGUUGGAAACGGCUGCUAAUACCGCAUAAGCUUGGUGACAUUGAAAAAACCAAGGAAAGGGGGCUUCGGCUCUCGCUAGAAGAUUGGUCUGCGUGACAUUAGCUUGUUGGUGGGGUAAUGGCCUACCAAGGCGACGAUGUCUAGCUGGUCUGAGAGGAUGAUCAGUCACACUGGAACUGAGACACGGUCCAGACUCC